CUCGAUCCAACUCCAGUCCUUUGCCACCCAUCUCCGCCACAACCUUCCGAAUCGGUCGCCACGAAGAAAUGGCAAAGCGCCGCCGGUUCGCGCUGCAGUACAUCAGCGACGGCGACGACGAGGACGAGGACGACAAUGCUGCACCCGAGGCGCCCAAACCCACAGUCCCCGACUCCUCGCGCCACAAGAAGCAGCAGCGCCGCUACCGCGACGAUGAUGACGCCGAGGCGGACCUGGAGCUCGCGGAGGAGGGAGACGAUGAGAUGAGGAACAACGAGGAGGAGGAGACGCAGGCCCGCCGCCGCUGGGGCCGCAAGCCCGCGCGCUCUGCUGAGAACAGCGACGGGGAGCUGGGCCACAAGGCGGAAGCGGAUGGGGAGGGGGACGACGGAAAUGGUUCGGAUGCGGUGCCCUUGGGCAACCCCGUGGAGGUUCCUGGCGAGGGGAAGCACUAUACCUCCUUCGAAUACGAGGGCAAUAUCUACAAGCUCGAGGAUUCGGCGAUGUUCUCGCCUGAUCAGGAGAAAGACAAGCCCUAUGUCGGCAUCAUCAAGGAUAUAAAUGAAAUUGAUGGGAGCUUAUCCGUAAGUGCUCAGUGGUUUUAUAGACCAGAAGAAGCCGAGAAAGAGGGUCGUGACCCAAGGGAGUUAUUUUAUAGUUUUCAUAUUGAUGAGGUGCCAGCAGAGUCAGUUAUGCACAUGUGUGUGGUCCAUUUCAUUCCUGAGCACAAGCAGGUGCCAAGUAAAAAGGAACACCCUGGAUUCAUUGUCCAACAGGUGUAUGACCACAAAGAGGAGAAGAUGUAUAAAAUAACGGAUAAGGACUACGAGGAUGACAAGCAGCAUCAGAUUGAUCUCCUUAUUAUGAAAACAAUGGACCGUAUUGGGAAGCUUCCGGAUCGUGAUCCUGAAGAUAUACCUGGCGACAACACUGAUAACUUAUCAUGGCGAAGCUUGCGGAAGAGACCUCUGAAGCCUAAAGAUGUUCCAAGAGAUGCUUCUACAGGCACAUCUGAGCAAUUCAGAAAAGAAGAUACACCCGUGAAUGAUAAUCUGAAAUAUUUUAGUAUCCUUGUCAGACAUGAAGUGAUUACUGGUAACCAGUAUCGUGAUUGGUGGCUUGAUAAAUUUGUAGACACUAUUCUGGCACUCCCUCAUUCAAGAGAUGAUAAUGAAAAUUCUUAUGCACCUAAUGAGGUUGUUCCGAUAGUAGCCUCCUUAGAAAGAUCAACAUUUGAGGCUCUUCAUGCAGACUACCAUAAGUAUAACCAGAAAAUGAGAACAUUAUUGUUCAAUAUCAAGAAAAGCUCUGUACUGUGCAAGCGACUAAUGGACAAGGAGCUUGAUCCUCCGGUUCUGUUAACAAUGACCCCUGAUGAACUAAAGGCUGGGUUGACACCAGCAGAGAUAGCGUCUGAAUCAGAAGAAUCAAGGCAGUUGCAGAUGACUGAGGCCCGGUGUAGAAGAUGCACAGAAAAGAAAGUAGGCAUACUUGAUAUUAUUCAUGCCAGCCGUGGAGAUCGCUAUCAGACAAAUUGAUGCGCAACUCGUGCCACAACCAUCGCAGUUGAGGCUUGAGGUGCAUCGCAAAAAAAAGGGCAGCCCGGUGCAUGUAGCUCCCGCUUGCGCAGGGACCGGGGAAGGGUAUGACCACUUUGGAUCUAUUGUCGAAUGUAUUUCCUGCGGAUUCACAUCCUUCGCGUCCAGAGAUGACAUCUUAAGAAAUGUCUAGCGAGAUCAGGUGAUCAGCCAGACAACAGGCCUGAUAUUGAUGCUCACGAGGAGAGCACAGCGGCUUACAUGGAGAAGCAGAUCAUAGUCUAACAAGCGAAGCGGGAUGAACCCUCCCCUACGCCUGCAACUAAUGAUGUGUAGUGAUAUGUAGAAUGACUAUUAAAAAAAAAAAGGAUAUGUAGGAUGACGGGUAGAUAUCUGGUGAUACGGUCCUAGAGAUGCUCCCCUGACCCGAGGCCAUGUGAGCCGUUUGAUCUGGACUGAAGGCACAGGAUUGAGCUGGCUCACCUGAUGUUGCCAUGCAAAACUAAGUGCAUAUCCAUUUUUCAA